rnacentral:rRNA from 1 species
GCUGGCGGCGUGGAUAAGACAUGCAAGUCGAGCGAGAUUUUUUCUUGUAGCAAUACAGGGAAAAAUCUAGCGGCGAACGGGUGCUUAACACGUGGGCAACCUGCCGUGAAGUGGGGGAUAGCUCGCCGAAAGGCGAAUUAAUACCGCAUGUGAUUAGAGAGGACAUCCUUUCGAAAUUAAAGUCGGGGCAACCUGACGCUUCUUGUGGGGCCCGCGGCCUAUCAGCUAGUUGGUGAGGUAACGGCUCACCAAGGCUUUGACGGGUAGCUGGUCUGAGAGGACGACCAGCCACACUGGGACUGAGACACGGCCCAGACACCUACGGGUGGCAGCAGUCGAGAAUUUUUGACAAUGGGGGAAACCCUGAUCGAGCGACGCCGCGUGGAGGAUGAAGGUCUUCGGAUCGUAAACUCCUGUCAUUGGGGAACAAGGUGCAUACGUUAACUGCGUGUGUAUUGAUAGUACCCGAAGAGGAAGGGACGGCUAACUCUGUGCCAGCAGCCGCGGUAAUACAGAGGUCCCAAGCGUUGUUCGGAUUCAUUGGGCGUAAAGGGUGCGUA